rnacentral:tRNA from 1 species
GAGGGCACAGCUCAGUGGUAGGGCACAUGCUUAGCAUGCACGGGGUCCCGGGUUCAAUCCCCAGUCCCUCCA